GGCAGCUCGCAGCACUGACCGAGGAUAGAGGCGUAGUCGAAGCCGUCGAGCGGGAGGCCGUCGAUCUCCCUCCCAGUGAUCCGCCGAACGGCCUCGCGCCGGAUGCCGGCGGCGCGGCGGCAGUCGCCGAGCCUGGUCUCGAGCACGUAGGACGGGAUCUUCCCGGCGACGACCGCGGCGACGAUCUCCUCGUCCUCCUCCGGCAUUUUCUCGUGCGCCGCGGCGGCGGCGGGGCUCCCGAGCAGCGCGCACGGGGCCGGCGCCUGCUGCUGCCGGGAGCGGGAGGGCGCCGCGGCGGUCGCGGGAGCUCCGGAGGACCCGACGAGGAAGUCCUCGUCGUCGUCGCUGGACGAGACGAUGGACUGGACGAAGGCGAUGCCGAAGAAGCUGAGGAGGUAGAUGAGCGAGGCGAUGAGGCCGAAUAUGGCGAGC
rnacentral:lncRNA from 1 species